rnacentral:rRNA from 1 species
GAUGAACGCUGGCGGCAGGCCUAACACAUGCAAGUCGAACGAGUGGCGGACGGGUGAGUAAUGUCUGGGAAACUGCCUGAUGGAGGGGGAUAACUACUGGAAACGGUAGCUAAUAACGCAUACCAUCGGAUGUGCCCAGAUGGGAUUAGCUAGUAGGUGGGGUAACGGCUCACCUAGGCGACGAUCCCUAGCUGGUCUGAGAGGAUGACCGGCCACCCGGGAACUGCGACACGGUCCAUACUCCUCCGGGAGGCAGCAGUGGGGAAUAUUGCACCAUGGGCGCAAGCCUUAUGCAGCCAUGCCGCGUGUAUGAAGAAGGCCUUCGGGUUGUAAAGUACUUUCAGCGGGGAGGCGUUACCCGCAGAAGAAGCACCGGCUAACUCCGUGCCAGCAGCCGCGGUAAUAC